rnacentral:SRP_RNA from 1 species
CGGGCCCCGCGCAAUGCGUGCCUGUGAACCGUGUCAGGGUGGGAACACAGCAGCACUAAGCGGGAAUGUCGCAUGUGACGCGGGGGUUCC